rnacentral:rRNA from 1 species
GACGAACGCUGGCGGCGUGCUUAACACAUGCAAGUCGAACGGAAAGGCCCUGCUUUUGUGGGGUGCUCGAGUGGCGAACGGGUGAGUAACACGUGAGUAACCUGCCCUUGACUUUGGGAUAACUUCAGGAAACUGGGGCUAAUACCGGAUAGGAGCUCCUGCUGCAUGGUGGGGGUUGGAAAGUUUCGGCGGUUGGGGAUGGACUCGCGGCUUAUCAGCUUGUUGGUGGGGUAGUGGCUUACCAAGGCUUUGACGGGUAGCCGGCCUGAGAGGGUGACCGGCCACAUUGGGACUGAGAUACGGCCCAGACUCCUACGGGGGGCAGCAGUGGGGAAUAUUGCACAAUGGGCGGAAGCCUGAUGCAGCAACGCCGCGUGCGGGAUGACGGCCUUCGGGUUGUAAACCGCUUUCACCUAUGACGAAGCGUGAGUGACGGUAAUGGGUAAAGAAGCACCGGCUAACUACGUG